rnacentral:lncRNA from 1 species
UGGUGAAUACUUGAGUCCUAGGAUAAGUCAAAUUCAACUAAAACCCUAGUUUUAGGUAAGAUCUCGCCUAUAAAAGGUUGCCUCCCUCCUCCUUUAGACUUCACAACCAAAAUCUUGAGUGACCACCAUCAAUUUUUAAACUUUUCUUGGUGUUUUUCUUAGAUUUUUUCCAUUGAAAAGGUUCAUCAGAAUCAACUUUUGGCCUAGCUAAACUUAGGUAAGGAACCUAAGCUUUUCUUCGUCUCUCUUUUUUGGCCUCAUGGCCAUCAUUCGACCUUGAUUGAAGCUAGCAAGUCAUCAGAAUCAUGUUUAAGUAGAGACACCCAUGUUUCAAAUCUUUUUUGCUUGGUUUAUCGUC